rnacentral:lncRNA from 1 species
CCUUGGCGUUAGGAGUGCGUCGGCUGCACCCUGGCGGAUGGACCUUGGGAAGGAGGGGAGGGGACCAUCGGGGUCGGCGGGGAGCUACGGGUUCCCCUCUUCCAAGACGGGUGCCAAGUGAUGAGUAUCAGGUGUCUAUGGUGAGAUUUGGGGAGGAUCCCAGACCUUAACAGCCCUUUGGUUGAAACCUCUCACAAUGUGGCAGGUAAGAUGUCUUUAUUCCCAUUUUGUAGAUGUGGCAGCUGAGCCUCAGAAGUUACGUGACUUGUUCAAG